UAAGGUUUCUAUAGGCAUUGAUUUUGGGUGAUUUGGAGUUGAUAUGACUUUGUAAGAGCUUUGCAAAGUCAAGGUUUGUUUCGGAUGACUUGGGUUUUAUGAAAUAAAACAGGGUUUAAGUUUUGGGUGAUUUCAAGAGUUUUGUGAUAGAUCUAUGGAUGAAACUUUGUGGGUUUAUGAUAAUACUUGAUUUUAAUACGUUUUGUGAAUUUGAGCUUGAUCUAAUGGUUAAAUUGAGGAAUAUUGAAGUUUAAGUGGGUCAAGGUCUUAGAAAGUAGAAUUUUAGGUCUAAUGGGUGUUUUUAAAAUUUCUUGCAAUCUAUUAAUUGGAUUAGAAUAAAACUUACUUGAGAGAAUAUUAGACUUGAUUUUCUAUGUGUAUGAGAAUUUUGAAAUCAAUCGAACAAUGCAAAGGAGAGAUAUUGGCUCUGGAAGAUUGGCAUCAAGAUUGGAGAAGGAGGCCGGCCAAUAUCCGAGCACAUUUUUGAGGUUAUCGUUAAUUUGGUAACUCCGAUCCUUUUCAAUUUUUUUGUGCUUGUUUUUAACUUACUUUUUUAGAAGUUUGCAAAAUUUGAGUUAAGAUCAACGGUUUAUUUAUUAGUUAUUGAAGUUUAAAUUUAUUGUAGGAAUUACUAGGGCUUGGUUUAGGGUUUGGUUAGGGUUUGGUUUACGGUUUAGGGUUUGGAUUAGGAUUUGAUUUAGGAUUUAAGGUUUGGUUUAGGGUUUGGGGUUGAAAGUUUGGAUUAGGGUUUGAUUUAGGAUUUAGGAUUUGGUUUAGGAUUUGGAAUUUAGGGUUUAUUUAGGGUUUAGGAUUUGGUUUGGGUUUGGUUUGGGGUUUGGUUAGGGUUUGGUUAGGGUUUGAUUUAGGAUUUAGGAUUUGGAUUAGGAUUUGGUUACGGUUUGAUUUAGAAUUAGGAUUUGGUUUAGGAUUUAGAUGGAGUUUGGUUUAAGGUUUGUUUAGGGUUUCAUUUAGGGUUUAGGAUAUUAUUAGGAUUUAAGAUUCAAUUAGUUUUGGCCUAAAGUUUGAAUGAAGUUCAAUAGGAUUUUAACUAGAAUUAAAUUAAGAUUGAGUUGAGAUGUAUUUGAGUGAUAUUUGUGAUCUUUCUAAUAUUUUUUUAAGAAUUCUUAUUGUUUAUUUAAAAUUUCUUUGAGGUUUUUUGAAUUUGAUUAAGCUUGCUUAGUAUUAUUAUGAUCUAAUUAAAGCAUUGUUAGUAUUCUAUUAGAAUUAGGAUUUUUUUAUUGCAAUUUCCAUUCUUCCUUCCACAGCCAAGUGUCCGAAGCAUUCUCAAGCAAGACUUUACGUAUUAUGACAACGUCUUCUUUCAUAGUUUCCUUUUUGUUGUAAGUUUUUAUUGUUUUUCUAAAAUGUUUGUUAAUAAUUCACAAAGACCUGCUCUGAUACCAUAUUAGAAUUAUGUG
rnacentral:lncRNA from 1 species